GGAAUAUUGGUCAAUGGGCGAGAGCCUGAACCAGCCAAGUAGCGUGCAGGAAGACUGCCCUAUGGGUUGUAAACUGCUUUUAUGCGGGAAUAAAGUCAGGUACGUGUACCUGUUUGUAUGUACCGCAUGAAUAAGGACCGGCUAAUUCCGUGCCAGCAGCCGCGGUAAUACGGAAGGUCCGGGCGUUAUCCGGAUUUAUUGGGUUUAAAGGGAGCGCAGGCCGGAGGUCAAGCGUGACGUGAAAUGUAGCCGCUCAACGGCUGAGUUGCGUCGCGAACUGGUUUCCUUGAGUGAGUACGACGUCAGCGGAAUUCGUGGUGUAGCGGUGAAAUGCUUAGAUAUCACGAAGAACUCCGAUUGCGAAGGCAGCCAACAAGGCCUUUACUGACGCUAAAGCUCGAAGGUGCGGGUAUCGAACA
rnacentral:rRNA from 1 species